UAAAUGUUCUUUAGAGUUUUCAUGGACGAUUAGGUUGUAUUGUCUAAUAGAUCAUAGCCGAUUAUCGUUAACUGCAUUGAGAGGUAGAGCAGUACCAGCUGUGUAGUAAGCACAGCCGAUCAUUUGAUUGCAGCAGCGCAAAACAUUUGCCAAUGAGCGAAAGCUUGAGCGAACCAAACUGGUAGGGGAAUGAAGGAGAACUCUGUAAACCCUUAAUGCUAGGGAAUAACUAGAGCGUACCUAGAGAGAAGAACGGGCUAAUGCUGGUGCCAGGUGCGACAAGUAUGACUUAAUUAAUAGAGUGUAAUUCUCUUACGCAAAUAACUCUGCGUACCUGAAAAUUCACAUGCGUGCUGAGCCCUUGGUUUAGCAUGUAUGAAGACUGAACUAACAGGAAUGUGUGUAUGGUAAAUAAAGUGAAUUGGUGUAAGCUUAUGUGGUAGGGCAGCGCGUCUGGCUCGUGUUGUUGAGUUUUCAAAAAUCACAAAAGUAUAGCCAAUACCUAAGCGCACAAUAGAUUGUAAGUCCAUUCAGUCAACGAUGGCUUUUAUGUCUUGGCCUGUGGCCUUGAAUAAGCAAACGCGGAAAAAGCCCGCCUCAAUAGUACGAGCGCAAGCUUAAAAUUGAAACAAUUAAUGCGUGGAGAUUCAAUAUGGUGGAACAUGCGAUUUAAUUCGUCGCUACGCGCUAACCUUACGCGGUCUUGAUUAAUUACUA
rnacentral:rRNA from 1 species